GAUGAAGAACGUAGCGAAAUGCAAUACUUGGUGUGAAUUGCAGAAUCCCGUGAACCAUCGAGUCUUUGAACGCAAGUUGCGCCCGAAGCCAUUAGGCCGAGGGCACGCCUGCCUGGGCGUCACACGUCGUUGCCCCCCCAUCUACUCCUUCGGGAUUGCGGGGGCGGAUGAUGGCCUCCCGUGCGCCUCGUCGCGCGGUUGGCAUAAAUACCAAGUCCUCGGCGACGCACGCCACGACAAUCGGUGGUUGCGAAACCUCGGUUGCCCGUCGUGUGCGGUCGUCGCGCAUCGAGGGCUCGAAAAAAUUGCCGGGCUCCGGCUCGGCUUUCAACGCGACCCCAGGUCAGGCGGGGUUACCCGCUGAAUUUAAGCAUAUCAAUAAGCGGAGGA
rnacentral:misc_RNA from 1 species